rnacentral:rRNA from 1 species
GACAGAGGGUGCAAACGUUGUUCGGAAUUAUUGGGCGUAAAGAGCGAGCAGGCGGUUACUCAAGUCAGAUGUAAAAUAUCCCGGCUUAACCGGGAGGGGCCAUUUGAAACUGGGUAACUAGAGUGAAGCAGAGGAUAGCGGAAUUCCCGGUGUAGUGGUGAAAUGCGUAGAUAUCGGGAGGAACACCAGUGGCGAAGGCGGCUAUCUGGCUUUAACUGACGCCGAGGCGCGAAGGCUAGGGGAGCAAACAGG